AGCAAAACUUUACCAGAUUGUGUAGAAAUCCAGUAGAUCGUGUGAGAACCAAGACUUUCCAACCUUAUCAGUCUCACGCGAACCUUGCCGGAGGACUUUCCAGCCUUAUCGGUCUCAGGCUGGUCUCAGGUGAGCCUUGUCGGAGUUUGUCAGGCUCAGGCGAGACUCGCUGGAGUAUGGGUUUGCUGGUAUGACUUAUAGCUACCACUUAUGGGAUGAAUAGCUCGACAGUACUCUGAGAGAGAGAGAGAGAGAGAGAGAGAGAGCAGAUCUAAACUCGCUGCCUCUCCCUCACUGAGAAGUGAGAAAUGAAAAUAGGAACCCUAACUCAGUAACUUAUGUGUAUAUAUAUAGGCAGGGGUAAUUUAGUAAUUUACUAGUUCGGUUUGGGUUCGGGUUCGGUUCGGUUCGGGUAUCAGCUGAACCAUGACCAAACCGAAACCCGUUCGGUUAUCCUAUGUGCCAACCAAACCCAUACCCACGGGGAUAAUUUCGGUUAUGGUUCGGGGAUAAUUUCGGUUAUCGGUUUGGGUACCCAUCGGUUUGGUUCAAAUUGCCUUCCCUAAGUGGGGUAGUAGUUAGGUGUAGCAGUGCUAAAAUAGGCUAUGCAGCAAGAAUGAAGUAUUUGUUGUGCUAAAAUAGCUCAAUUAUAUUUUCUUUGCAAAUUUUGAACAAAAAUUAGCGCAAUGCUUAUUUACACUACAUUGUUUUCACAUAGCAGAGUGCGUACUACAUUGCUGGUGCUGUGGGGCCAUUCAUAGAAAAUCCGUUAUAUGCGUGUUCCAUAGGCGUUGGUGCAUUUGGUGUUUUUGAAUGUCUGUGUAUGGUAUCUUUUUGUGUCUUUGUCUGUUCUGUGGGUUAGAGCUGCACAUUAGAGCAUCUGUGGCGGUCUAGUACUUAGGUUUAGCAGUGUUAAGUUUGUUAACAAAUAGAAAUGUGGGCCUGUCCAUGGUUUCUCUGUACCAUGUAGAAUUCCCAAACAAGAGACAGAUAAAGGGGAAGGAAAUACCCCUUUUGUCUUCAAACCCCAGCACAUGAAGUCCUAUUUGGUUCUGAUAAUGUCCCUCUAUCUCUGUAGUAUAUCUUCGUGGGAGAUUUUUGAAAGGUUAGGCAUACUAUGUUUAUUGCUAAAAUCGAGGCUAUUCUGGCUAAAGUGUCAAUAAUUUUUGUUGUGGUACUAGAUGUAUCGAUUCACAUUUGACAUUCACUUGGUAAAACCUUAGAAUACAUUGUACUCUACACUCAUGGGUGGAACUACGGGGGGUGGUGACACGUGCCACCCCCUGUUUCAAAAAAUACCACCAAAAAAGGAGAAGAGCACAGGAUAACGUUAUAUAUUAAAAUAAAUUUGCACAAAGAGCACUUUGGCUAAGUGGUUAAAACUUGUGCCACGUUCUUGGGUCUUCCCAAUUCCCAUUCUAGUCUCCCCGGCAGCAUUUUAUCUUUUUGUCCUUAUAGAAACCUCCUCUCAGCUCUCUCUCUCCUCAAUUUUUGCAUGAACUCUUACAAGGUUUGUAAUUUUUCACUAAUUGGGGUAGGUGUCCCCCGCACUUUCGAACACAUAAUUUUUCUAAUAGACUAACGUGGUUCAACUAGGUAUUUAAGGGUAUGCCAAAAAAAAAAAAAAAAACUAGUACUUUGUACGAAUACUGGAAAAA